UACGUAGGGGGCAAGCGUUGUCCGGAUUUAUUGGGCGUAAAGAGCGUGUAGGCGGUUGGGUAGGUCCGUUGUGAAAACUCGAGGCUCAACCUCGAGACGCCGAUGGAAACCCCCCAGCUAGAGUCCGGAAGAGGAGAGUGGAAUUCCUGGUGUAGCGGUGAAAUGCGCAGAUAUCAGGAGGAACACCGGUGGCGAAGGCGGGUCUCUGGGCAAUAACUGACGCUGAGGAGCGAAAGCGUGGGGAGCGAACAGG
rnacentral:rRNA from 1 species